AGCAGAGCCUUCUUUCAUGGGUCUCCUGGGAAUAUCUGAGAGAUCAGCAUUCCUUUCUAAAACUUAUUUUAAGACUUGUAAUUUACAGAAAUUGGUACAUAAUGUACACAUCCAACAAUAAACAAGGAGCUAUCUUACAGGUAUUGGAGAUUUGUGGACCAUCUCAGGUUGCAAAACCCAACAGCCCAACACCAACUCCUGAUUCUGCUCCUGAACCGAUGGGAAUCCAGGAGCUCCCCAUUCUGUGUACAACCUGCACAUUAUAGAACCUUUGUCAACAUUAUGGAAUAUUUCGGGAUUGUCUGCAAUUUACAGGUGCAGAGAAUGAGGCUGAGAGUUGGAGACUCAGUAAAGGGUGGCAGAGGGCACAGACGCCACCAGCAGACUCUUCGGAAGAAAGUAACAGGACUGGAACUUCAUUUUCCCAUGGAUUGUAAAAGGUGGGAGAAAAGUCAUAUAAACCCCUAGCCUUCCUAAAAUGCCCUUUAUGCUUGUAGUGAGUGUUAGUCAUUCCUGGCAGCACAAACAUAUUUUCAAGAGGGUCUUUCAGGUUUGAGAAAUGAGGUAGUGGCUAUGAUAUUUCAGGAAAAGAGAA
rnacentral:lncRNA from 13 species